UGAUGAAGGCCUUCGGGUCGUAAAGCUCUUUCGACGGGGAAGAAGGCGUUGGAGGCGACCCUCCAGCGAUUGACGGUACCCGUAUAAGAAGCCCCGGCUAACUCCGUGCCAGCAGCCGCGGUAAUACGGAGGGGGCAAGCGUUAUUCGGAAUCAUUGGGCGUAAAGAGUUCGUAGGCGGGGCGUUAUGUCUGGCGUGAAAUUUUUCGGCUCAACCGGAAAAAGCCGUCGGAAACUGGCGCCCUCGAGUCGGGUAGAGGCUAGCGGAAUUCCAGGUGUAGCGGUGGAAUGCGUAGAUAUCUGGAAGAACAUCUGUGGCGAAGGCGGCUAGCUGGGCCCGCACUGACGCUGAGGAACGAAAGCCAGGGGAGCAAACGGGAUUAGAUACCCCGGUAGUCCUGGCUGUAAACGAUGGACGCUAGGCGUGGGGGGUGUCGACCCCUCCCGCGCCGCCGCAAACGCAUUAAGCGUCCCGCCUGGGGAGUACGGCCGCAAGGUUG
rnacentral:rRNA from 1 species